rnacentral:rRNA from 1 species
UGCAAGUCGAGCGGACAGAAGGGAGCUUGCUCCCGGAUGUUAGCGGCGGACGGGUGAGUAACACGUGGGUAACCUGCCUGUAAGACUGGGAUAACUCCGGGAAACCGGAGCUAAUACCGGAUAGUUCCUUGAACCGCANGGUUCAAGGAUGAAAGACGGUUUCGGCUGUCACUUACAGAUGGACCCGCGGCGCAUUAGCUAGUUGGUGGGGUAAUGGCUCACCAAGGCGACGAUGCGUAGCCGACCUGAGAGGGUGAUCGGCCACACUGGGACUGAGACACGGCCCAGACUCCUACGGGAGGCAGCAGUAGGGAAUCUUCCGCAAUGGACGAAAGUCUGACGGAGCAACGCCGCGUGAGUGAUGAAGGUUUUCGGAUCGUAAAGCUCUGUUGUUAGGGAAGAACAAGUGCGAGAGUAACUGCUCGCACCUUGACGGUACCUAACCAGAAAGCCACGGCUAACUACGUGCCAGCAGCCGCGGUAAUACGUAGGUGGCAAGCGUUGUCCGGAAUUAUUGGGCGUAAAGGGCUCGCAGGCGGUUUCUUAAGUCUGAUGUGAAAGCCCCCGGCUCAACCGGGGAGGGUCAUUGGAAACUGGGAAACUUGAGUGCAGAAGAGGAGAGUGGAAUUCCACGUGUAGCGGUGAAAUGCGUAGAGAUGUGGAGGAACACCAGUGGCGAAGGCGACUCUCUGGUCUGUAACUGACGCUGAGGAGCGAAAGCGUGGGGAGCGAACAGGAUUAGAUACCCUGGUAGUCCACGCCGUAAACGAUGAGUGCUAAGUGUUAGGGGGUUUCCGCCCCUUAGUGCUGCAGCUAACGCAUUAAGCACUCCGCCUGGGGAGUACGGUCGCAAGACUGAAACUCAAAGGAAUUGACGGGGGCCCGCACAAGCGGUGGAGCAUGUGGUUUAAUUCGAAGCAACGCGAAGAACCUUACCAGGUCUUGACAUCCUCUGACAACCCUAGAGAUAGGGCUUUCCCUUCGGGGACAGAGUGACAGGUGGUGCAUGGUUGUCGUCAGCUCGUGUCGUGAGAUGUUGGGUUAAGUCCCGCAACGAGCGCAACCCUUGAUCUUAGUUGCCAGCAUUCAGUUGGGCACUCUAAGGUGACUGCCGGUGACAAACCGG